GCCAGCAUGGUGUAGUGGUUUGUGUGUUGGACUGGGACGCUGGGAGACCAGGGUUCGAAUCCCUGCUUGGCC